AGCGCAGGCGGGAAGACAAGUUGGAAGUGAAAUCUAUGGGCUCAACCCAUGAAUUGCUUUCAAAACUGUUUUUCUUGAGUAGUGCAGAGGUAGAUGGAAUUCCCGGUGUAGCGGUGGAAUGCGUAGAUAUCGGGAGGAACACCAGUGGCGAAUGCGGUCUACUGGGCACCAACUGACGCUGAGGCUCGAAAGCAUGGGUAGCAAACA
rnacentral:rRNA from 1 species